UACGUAUGGGGCAAGCGUUAUCCGGAAUUAUUGGGCGUAAAGAGUGCGUAGGUGGCUACCUAAGCGCAAGGUUUAAUCUUGAGGCUCAACCUCAUUCUGCCUUGCGAACUGGGCUACUUGAGUGCAGGAGGGGAAAGCGGAAUUCCCAGUGUAGCGGUGAAAUGCGUAGAUAUUGGGAAGAACACCGGUGGCGAAGGCGGCCUUCUGGACUGUAACUGACACUGAGGCACGAAAGCGUGGGGAGCAAACAGGAUUAGAUACCCUGGUAGU
rnacentral:rRNA from 1 species